ACCACCAGUGGUGCAGUUGUUAGCACUUUUGUUUUGCAGCAGAAAGAUCCUGGGAUUAAAUCCCAGCCGGGGCU